rnacentral:misc_RNA from 1 species
GAUAGUUGAUAUUUAAUUGAUAAGGAAAACAGAUAAUGAAAGAUGACAAAACUAAACCAGAAAAUGGAUUAUAGGAUACUAUGCUGUCACAACUGACCAAAUGUAGUAUUCAGAAUGUUCUGAUAUCAUAACAUGAUAAAGGAGAAAAGGUAAUCUCAGCAAAUAGCCAAUUUCAGAAACAAAGUUUAAAAUUUAUAUUCUUUGUUCAUCAAAAGAAUGAUAUUCUGGAGCCAUGGAUAUAGAAAGGUGGAAAAAAAGCACAAGCAAAAAUCUGCUAUCUUAUGUAAUUUUCCCUACAUGCUGAAAAAAUGGAAAUCAAAAAGGUGAAAUUAUAUACUAAUGAGCUGAAAAAGCAGGUACAAUACAAAUAAGAGAAUUACAGCAAAGUAAAGGCAACCUGCGAAGGAUUAUAAUCUUGUAUCAUGAAAACUACCUUUUAGCAGGACGGG